GAGGGUAUAGCUCAGUGAUAGAGUACAUGCUUAGCAUGCACGAGGUCCUGGGUUCAAAACCCAGUACCUCCA
rnacentral:tRNA from 1 species